rnacentral:lncRNA from 11 species
CAAAGGAACAAACUGAGUAUGCUCAGAAACUUCUCAGCUCUCACGUUAAUAUAGAGCAAGGCUGAGAUUUCAAGGAGAGGAGGAUUUCUUCCAACAAAUAAUGCGGAAGGAGGGAUGGUGGGCAAGGAAUCAGAUCUAUAAUGUGGUGAGAAAUUUACUCAAAGACUGCGGAGAACAUACUAAGUCACAUGGAAGUGUGGUGAAGAUUCCAACUGAUGCUGUUCUGGACUCAGAGCGAAAUCUUCUGUCUUGCUGCAAUCUCCUUUUCCUUGUGUAUCCUGUCUCAUUUAGAAGCUAAAACAGAGUAUAGGGAACUCUCAGAUGAAUUAUAUGUAAGCCAUACUGGGAAGAGCCAGUGCGGUGUAGUGGUUUGAACACUGGACUUUGACUCUGGAGACCAAAGUUCGAAUCCCUACUCACCCAGAAGCUGACUUUGGCUACAGCACACUCUCUCAACUUGAGAGGAUGUCAAAGGCAAAUACUUUCUGAACAAAUCUUGCCAAGAAAACCCUGGGAGAGCCCUUACUGCUAUUUGCUUUAAAAGAUUUUUGCCUUGGAAUUAACUAAAGAACCAUAAUCUAACUAUGAAAAACAAAACAAAAGGAGACAAAGAUUUCUAGAGCCAUUUGUGUUUAUUGAAAAACCAGCCGGGAACUGUAAAAUGCACAAUGAAUAAUUUAAUUCUGGCAUUCAUGCUAAAAGUCCAAUUUAAGUGAAUCAAGUUAGAAAUAAUAACUCAAUAAGUUAAAAUUUUAAUCAAGUUGCUCUUUUUAUUUGAGAAAUUGUAACAUAACUGCUAACUGAAUUGAUUUUAAGUAGUUUGUGUUGUGGAUUGUGGAUGAUAGAUGCUCGUACGUGUGCCCAUGAACCCAGAGUGUGCCCAUGAACCCUGCAGAAUGAUGCACCACUCAGCUUUGCAGAACAAACAACACAGGAACUUUUACUAAGUCAAAGAGAUCAACAGAACAAUGGCAUUUACAAUAGUCCCUCUGAUUGCUUACAGAAAUCAGCAGUCAUAAGCAGUCCUUUAUUAGUCCAUAAAUCUGCUUCAGUGAAGAUCAGCAGCGAAAAAGGCCCCAGAAAUAGUCAGGCCUCUCUGAGUACAGAGCCAUCUUCUUUCCAGCCAGUACUCAGUAGUCUCUCUCUCACAGAGAAACCUGUUCAAAUCGGUUCUCCAGCAGCAGGACAGCAACAGUUGCAAACCGAUUCCCAGGUCCUUGCAAACUCAGCCAAUCGGCUUCAUGUAUUU